rnacentral:rRNA from 1 species
AUUGAACGCUGGCGGCAGGCCUAACACAUGCAAGUCGAACGAGUGGCGGACGGGUGAGUAAUGCUUGGGAAUCUAGCUUAUGGAGGGGGAUAACUAAGGGAAACUGUAGCUAAUACCGCGUACCAUAGGAUGAGCCCAAGUGGGUUUAGGUAGUUGGUGAGGCAAAGGGUCACCAAGCCGACGAUCGCUACCUGGUCUGAGAGGAUGACCAGCCAAACUGGGACUGAGACACGGUCCAGACUCCUAAGGGAGGCAGCAGUGGGGAAUAUUGCGCAAGGGGCGCAAGCUGAUGCAGCCAUGCCGCGUGAAUGAAGAAGGCCUUCGGAUUGUAAAGUUCUUUAGGUAGCGAGGCGUUACCCGCAGAAGAAGCACCGGCUAACUCCGUGCCAGCAGCCGCGGUAAUAC